UUUGCAGCAAAACAUAAACUCUAGGUUUUAGACUUUUGGUUCUAAACCUUGUCUCAGAUCGAUUACUCCUUCCGAAUUUCUUUGAUUUCAAUCUCAAUCUCUUGCAAUUAUCGAUCUAGUUUCUCUUUGAAACCCUAGAAAUUGAGAGUGAUUGCACUUUUCAUUUCUCUCUAUAGUCUAAAAUCUUUAAUCUUCUGAACAAGAGUUUUGUUUAUACUGAAGAGGAAAAACAAGAAGAAUAAGAGAUAAUUAAUUGAUUUAGCAAUGGAGUACGACCUAAAAAAUCCUUUAACAGGAUUUGAAGAACACCAAUCUGGCACAAUUACUCUUCCCAUCUGAAUCUAAUUAUAUGCGUUGCAUGACUUACGUUUCGACUUCCAAAAAUAGAGAUCUCGAUGUUUCUGUUCGUCGACAAGCAAUUCCUAUAAUUUUUCAGUUGAGGAGGAUCUAAUGAAGUUUGAUGUUAGUUGCAGUAUGGAAAACCAUGAAUGAUAAAGUUACUUUGCAUAUCUUGUGUAAAGGAGGUCAAAAUCAAAAAUCAACGAAGCUUAUGUCUAAUGUUCAUUUUGGAGAUGGGUCCGUUGAGAUUUUUUGGAGUUGGGUCCGUUGAGAUUAUUUGAAAUUAGUUGGAAUUAGGAGUCAGUAAGUAGCUCUAGUAAGACCACCCCCUUCAUUAGCUCUUUUGGAGUGAACAUUCUAUGUAGUCUACUAGCCUAUAUACUAUAUGAUGAGUAUGAGUAUGUUUAUGAGAGCUAGUAGGCUAGUCAUAUUAAUGGCUGAAAGUCUGUCACCAUGUGAGUCCAUCAGGUUUUUGUGUUUUCUA